rnacentral:rRNA from 1 species
GGACGAACGCUGGCGGCGUGCCUAACACAUGCAAGUCGAGCGGAGACAGCGGAAAGCUUGCUUCUGUCUGUUCAGCGGCGGACGGGUGAGUAACGCGUGAGCAACCUGCCUUUAACGGGGGAAUAACGCAUCGAAAGAUGUGCUAAUACCGCAUAAGACCACAGCAUCACAUGGUGCAGGGGUCAAAGGAGCAAUCCGGUUAAAGAUGGGCUCGCGUCCGAUUAGCUGGUUGGUGAGACAACAGCCCACCAAGGCGACGAUCGGUAGCCGACCUGAGAGGGUGAUCGGCCACAUUGGAACUGAGAUACGGUCCAGACUCCUACGGGAGGCAGCAGUGGGGAAUAUUGGGCAAUGGGCGAAAGCCCUGACCCAGCAACGCCGCGUGAGGGAAGAAGGGUUUCGGCUCGUAAACCUCUGUCCUAUGGGACGAAGGAAGUGACGGUACCAUAGGAGGAAGCCCCGGCUAACUACGUGCCAGCCGCAGC